rnacentral:rRNA from 1 species
UACGGAAGGGGCUAGCGUUGUUCGGAAUUACUGGGCGUAAAGCGCGCGUAGGCGGCUUCGCAAGUGAGGCGUGAAAGUCCUGGGCUCAACCCGGGGACGGCGCUUCAGACUGUGGGGCUAGAGUCCGGAAGAGGGUGGUGGAAUUCCGAGUGUAGAGGUGAAAUUCGUAGAUAUUCGGAGGAACACCGGUGGCGAAGGCGGCCACCUGGUCCGGUACUGACGCUCAAGUGCGAAAGCGUGGGGAGCAAACAGG